GCCAUUCUCUCGAUGAGCUUCAAGAGGUCGUCACCUGAAAUGGUUUCCCAACAGUCUUGAAGGAGUUCGCAGAGGUGUUUAGCACUUGUUGGCCUCUUUACCUUCACUCUGCAGUCCACCUCACACCAAACCAUCUCAAUUGGGUUCAGGUCUGGUGACUGUUGAGGCCAGGUUAGGUGUGUAAUGUACAAUACUUGUAUGUUGUAUGUACUGUGUAUACUGUUGUACUGACAACAAAUCUCUCUUGAAUCUUGAACUGUGAAGUUUUAUUGCUUCUUUGAUCAGUGCACCUGUUCUCAGCUGUACUAAAUUAAUUUGAAGGGGUUUUCUAAUCACAAAUGGUUUAAUGAGCUCCGCCUUCCCUUUCAACUCAAGAAUCAUUGUUGCUUAUAUGCAGAUAUCCCUUCAUUAACAGCCAUGUUUAGAUACCAGAGUCCUUUACAACAUCAACAACUGGAGUUUUGGACGGUUUGAUGUCUUUUUAACCAAACAAUUGUUUCUCAUCUGAUGAAGGACACUUCUAAACUUUUGAAUGGUAGUAUACAUUAAUAUAUUUCUAAAGAAAGUACGUGUUUAUAGGAUAACGGGGUCUAUUAAGCCUUCUGUGAGGAGGAGGUUGAGGCAGAAUCUCUCGUCGCGAACACGGCCAGCAGCGUCCGCGUGUGCCGGAGCAGGACAGUCGCGAACACGCCGCCUCCAGCAGCUUCUGCUGCGUGUGCCGGAGAAGGACAGUCGCGAACACGCCGCCUCCAGCAGCUUCUGCUGCGUGUGCCGGAGAAGGACAGUCGCGAACACGCCGCCUCCAGCAGCUUCUGCUGCGAGUGCCGGAGCAGGACAGUCGCGAACACGCCGCCUCCAGCAGCUUCUGCUGCGUGUGCCGGAGAAGGACAGUCGCGAACACGCCGCCUCCAGCAGCUUCUGCUGCGAGUGCCGGAGCAGGACAGUCGCGAACACGCCGCCUCCAGCAGCUUCUGCGACGUGUGCCGGAGAAGGACAGUCGCGAACACGCCGCCUCCAGCAGCUUCUGCUGCGUGUGCCGGAGAAGGACAGUCGCGAACACGCCGCCUCCAGCAGCUUCUGCUGCGAGUGCCGGAGCAGGACAGUCGCGAACACGCCGCCUCCAGCAGCUUCUGCGACGUGUGCCGGAGAAGGACAGUCGCGAACACGCCGCCUCCAGCAGCUUCUGCGACGUGUGCCGGAGAAGGACAGUCGCGAACACGCCGCCUCCAGCAGCUUCUGCGACGUGUGCCGGAGAAGGACAGUCGCGAACACGCCGCCUCCAGCAGCUUCUGCUGCGAGUGCAGGAGCAGGACAGUCGCGAACACGCCGCCUCCAGCAGCUUCUGCUGCGUGUGCCGGAGAAGGACAGUCGCGAACACGCCGCCUCCAGCAGCUUCUGCGACGUGUGCCGGAGAAGGACAGUCGCGAACACGCCGCCUCCAGCAGCUUCUGCUGCGAGUGCAGGAGCAGGACAGUCGCGAACACGCCGCCUCCAGCAGCUUCUGCUGCGUGUGCCGGAGCAGGACAGUCGCGAACACGCCGCCUCCAGCAGCUUCUGCUGCGUGUGCCGGAGCAGGACAGUCGCGAACACGCCGCCUCCAGCAGCUUCUGCUGCGUGUGCCGGAGAAGGACAGUCGCGAACACGCCACAUCCAGCAGCUUCUGCUGCGUGUGCCGGAGAAGGACAGUCGCGAACACGCCGCCUCCAGCAGCUUCUGCGACGUGUGCCGGAGAAGGACAGUCGACUGUUUGUGGGGAGACGCGUCUGGAGUCGGGCAGCAGCGGCAGGUAGCGCGUCCGUGUCGCUGUUAUCAGCCUCCGCAGCAUGAGGGCGACGUCACGUCGCUGCUCUUAUAA
rnacentral:lncRNA from 1 species